rnacentral:rRNA from 1 species
UACGGAGGGUGCAAGCGUUAUCCGGAUUCACUGGGUUUAAAGGGUGCGUAGGUGGGUUGAUAAGUCAGUGGUGAAAUCCCCGAGCUUAACUUGGGAACUGCCAUUGAUACUAUUGAUCUUGAAUACCGUGGAGGUCAGCGGAAUAUGUCAUGUAGCGGUGAAAUGCUUAGAUAUGACAUAGAACACCUAUUGCGAAGGCAGCUUACUACGCAGAUAUUGACGCUCAUGCACGAAAGCGUGGGGAUCAAACAGG